ensembl:lncRNA
UAAUUAAAUAGUAGGAAGGCAAGGAAUAUUCGGCUAAGAAGAGCUACAACGUACAAGUAAUGGAGUAGGAGAAGAACCAAGAGAAAUAAUGUCACACAGCGAAGUGGAGAAAUAAUUUCAAGAGGAGGGAAUCAGGUGCUGACUCAGCUGAGUCUGAUGCUGUAGACAGUAAGACUAGAACUGAGAGCUGACUCUUGGCUUACAGUAACACGGGGGUCAUUAGCGAUGACCUCAGCAAGAGCUGUUUCAGUGAAGUGGUAGAGGCGAAAGCUUGGUAGGCAUGAGUUAAGAAAGAAUGGGAGGUAAAGGAGUAAGGUAAGUUUCUGGACUUGAUCUCAAAUAUUAAGAAAUGCCCAUGGAAUGGAAUCUGGGAAUGGAAUGCUCUCAGGCAAGAAACAACUACAGCUGUCCCUCUGUAUCCACAGGGAUUGGUUCCAGGACCUCCCAGGGAUACCAAAAUCCAUGGACGUUCAAGUCCCUUGCAUAAAACAGCAAAGAAUUUGCAUAUGACCUACACACAUCCUCCCAUUUACUUUAAAUCAUCUCUAGAUUACUUAAAAAUACCCAAUAAAUGCUAUGUGAAUAGCUGCCAGCAAGUGGCAAUUCAAGCUUUGCUUUUUGGAAUUUUCUGGAAAAAAAUUUUUUUUUCAGAAUAUCUUUCAUUCACUGUUGGUUGAAUCCAUGGAUGCAGAACCCACAGAUAAGAAAGGUGACUGGAGAGGUCUUUUUCUGUACUCAAUAAAUGGUCUUCAUAUUUCUUAUUUUGUGAUUAUCCCCACUCAUUCAAGAGAAGGAGAAAAAAUCUGCAAGUGUCUAUUUAAAGGAAAAAAUGGUAUGAGAGAGAGGAAGUAAAGAGCAACUUGGCAACGAAUCUACUGUUUUUAAACAAGUCAAUAUUAAACAAACACAUCAAUUUUUACUCUAUUUUUCUCUUUGUAUACAAUUUUCAAUUAAUCUAUACCUGCCUUUCCAAUGUGUUCUUCAAAUGAGCCAUUUCACUAUAAUUUCUGCACUGUUUCAGUAAAUACAUUUGCAUCCUAGCUCUUCUGCAGUGUUGAUUUAAAAUUAAUGACUUGAGAUUACAGUUACUGACAUAAAACC